CCUACGGGAGGCAGCAGUGGGGAAUCUUGGACAAUGGGGGCAACCCUGAUCCAGCCAUGCCGCGUGUGUGAAGAAGGCCUUCGGGUUGUAAAGCACUUUCAGUAGGGAGGAAGGCUUAUCCUUAAUACGGAUGAGUACUUGACGUUACCUACAGAAGAAGCACCGGCUAAUUUCGUGCCAGCAGCCGCGGUAAUA
rnacentral:rRNA from 4 species